ensembl:lncRNA
CUGAAGCUUCAAAGCGCGUAUGGAAUAAGCAGUGCAAUUUCUUACGAAGCUCUGUGCCGGUGUUCUGAAAUAUUUAGUGUCUCCGUGGCACUGGGCGGAGCUUACAUGAAUAUUCAUGAGUUUCCUGUUCGGAGUUAAAGCGUCACCAAAAAUUUUAGUGCUCUUCGGAUCACAGAAAAUGUUUUCGAUGAUGGCUGGUUUGUGAGCUCCAGCAUGUGGCCUUGUGAGCACGCUGACACUGAAAAUUGAAAACAUGUCCUGACACUCUUAGCUGGGAAGACAUCACACAGAGACAGCUUUGAGAUUCUUACCAGCUUUCUCCGGAAUCUGACAACCAAUAAGCAGGGUUUUACUCUGCAGUGGUGUGUGAAAGAGAGACUGUUUCUGCCAUGAAGUCUCAGUCAAAUUGAAAUGACGCUGGCCUUUGAGAUGUCCAUCAUCUUUAAUAAUACCAAAUUACUGGCCCCUGCUGGAGCCUCCCAGCCACUUCUCACUACACUCAGACGACGGCAUGCCGAUGUUGAGGAUGUAACGGAGAGCGUGUACUUGGUGGGCAGUUGUCAGCUUCUCUUUACGGCUCUCAUACUAAACCCCAAAUUGAGCAUUCACUACACAGCUGUCAACAAAAGCCAAGAACAACUGUUUCAGCGGGACCUGGUUGUUGCAAAACAAGCAGUGGGCAUGAGAGAUUUGGGCAAGCUAGCAUACACACGUGCGUGUGAACAGUCCCAAAAGUUACAAACAUCUCGGUCAAAUCAAAGGUUAAUUUAUAUGUAAACUGAGACUUCUUGAAACUGGUUGC